rnacentral:rRNA from 1 species
AGUGAACGCUGGCGGUAGGCCUAACACAUGCAAGUCGAACGGCAGCACAGUAAGAGCUUGCUCUUACGGGUGGCGAGUGGCGGACGGGUGAGGAAUACAUCGGAAUCUACUUUUUCGUGGGGGAUAACGUAGGGAAACUUACGCUAAUACCGCAUACGACCUACGGGUGAAAGCAGGGGAUCUUCGGACCUUGCGCGAUUGAAUGAGCCGAGGUCGGAUUAGCUAGUUGGCGGGGUAAAGGCCCACCAAGGCGACGAUCCGUAGCUGGUCUGAGAGGAUGAUCAGCCACACUGGAACUGAGACACGGUCCAGACUCCUACGGGAGGCAGCAGUGGGGAAUAUUGGACAAUGGGCGCAAGCCUGAUCCAGCCAUGCCGCGUGGGUGAAGAAGGCCUUCGGGUUGUAAAGCCCUUUUGUUGGGAAAGAAAAGCAGCAGGUUAAUACCCCGCUGUUCUGACGGUACCCAAAGAAUAAGCACCGGCUAACUUCGUG